rnacentral:lncRNA from 1 species
GCAAAAUCCUUCAACCCUUCUACACAGACAGAUGUCGCUUUUCUGCCGGUCCCUGCAGUACACCUGUCUGCCCUGGAAAGUACAUUUCUCAGCUGCAGCCCCGCGAGGCCAAGAGCUUGAAGCUGGGUCUUAUGGUUGGGGCUGCAGGUGCUGGGCCUAAGGAGCAUGAAGAGGUGCCCAAGGUUGGGGGAGCGGUCCGAGGUUUGGAGGGCAGACCUCUUGAAGGCAGACGGCAGCCACCAACCACAUCCUGGCUCCCGCACAGACACACCCCCGGGGGGUCGGUGCCGUAGCCCCCAGCCCCUCCUGGGGUAGCCAGCAGCGCCCGCCGGCCGCCAGCCACAGGAGAAAGUAAACACCCCAAGUGUCCGGGAACAAAGGCAAGUUGUCUUCCUACGGUGCCGGAGCCGUGUGCCUCUUCUGAAGAAUAAGAGCUAUUAUUAUUCUUUAUGUCUUAUCCUUUUUUUUUUUUUUUUCAGCCAAGUUUCCUUCUAAGGGAAAUAAACACCAAAGGUAGGAUUCCAAGGAAAUGACUCACGGCGGCUGGCAGGGCUCUGGCGGGGCUGGCCCGGGCCCCCGCGCUCCAGCCCGCAGCAGAUGCCGGCCCGGCCCUCCCUCUCUCGCCGGCCAAGCAGGCUGGAAGCCCGUGGCUGCGGAAGCGCCCUGCGCCCGUGGGACCUGGCGGCGAGGACGCCUCUUGCCUGCUUCUGCGGCCGCAGCCGGGCACUCGGAAAGUUGCUAGGGCCGAAGAGGCGGGAGGGGAAGAAGGGAGGAGAGAAGCGGAGGCGUGGACCAGGCGGGCAGCAGCCUCAGCCCGCCGGGGAGCGCCGCGGCGUCCGGACCUGGGGGCACCCCUCCUACUGACCCCGGUUCCCGAGAAUGAGGGACUAAGCGGCCACCGAGGACCCUGAGGUCUCACCAGAGUGCUGACCCCACCCGCCCCUGGAGUUGUCUCGGUGCGCGCGGGUGGCAGCCCGAGCAGCCCUAGAGGAGGCGGCGGUUCCCGCCCUGGUGAAGGCGCCGCGGCGCAAGCCAGCCCUGGGAAAAGCCCGCGCCGCCUCCGCGCCCAGCUGUGCUUUGGCCCCCACGCCGCCCCGGCCCCGCUGCGAGUCCACUCGGUGACUUCGGCGCAGCCCUGGUGCCGGGAGAGCGCGCGGGAGGCCGCGUGGGUGCCCGUCUGCGCGGGCAGGAGCCCC